UCCCUGAUAGCUCAGUUGGUAAAGAAUCUGCCUGCAAUGCAGGAGACUCCAGUUUGAUUCUUGGGUAGGGAA
rnacentral:tRNA from 1 species